rnacentral:misc_RNA from 1 species
AUGAUGAUAUUAACGAAUGUGAAUUGAAACAUCUGGCGUGCAAAUGACCCGAGGAAAAUUAUGUGUCAAUAGCCUAGGUUCAUACACCUGUGAGUGUAGAGCAGGAUUUUACAAAACAGAUCAAGGAGACUGCAGAGAUACCGAUGAAUGUCCAGACCGGCUGCUGCAUAAUUGUACGCAAGAAUGCAUCAAUGCAAUUGGAGGUUAUUCCUGUGGGUGCAGAGAAGGAUACACGAAAAUAGACAAAUGGUCUUGUGAGGAUAUAGACGAAUGCGAGUUAGGUACAUCUAGCUGUGAACAGAAAUGUGUGAAUAACCAAGGCCAGUACAGUUGUUUUUGUCAUUUUGGAUACAGUAUUAACGAUGACCGAAGAACAUGUAGAAAACUUUCAGACCCUUGCCUGUCCAUUUAUAAUCUCACCUGUUCGCAUUUCUGCCUACCAGAUGUUGAUAACGCGGUGUGCGGCUGCAGAAGUGGCUAUAAGCUCAAACCUGACAGUGAAACGUGUAUAGAUAUCAAUGAAUGUACUGACGAUGAUGAAAACAAAUGCGACGCAGAUGCCACGUGUACAAAUACGGAAGGAUCAUACUUGUGUGAAUGUCCAGAUGGAAAACAUUUGGAAAAUGACGGACGCACAUGCUCAGAAUGUGAUGAUUAUCACUAUGGACGGAACUGUUUGAAGACCUGUAGUUGCUUACAUGGAAUUUGUGACAAGAGGACUGGUUGCGUUUGCAAUCCUGGAUGGGCCGGCUCACUUUGUGACACUGAUAUAGAUGAAUGCUCCACAGAACAAGUUGUAUGUCUAAAAGAAAAGUCCGUUUGUGUGAAUAUACUUGGAAGCGCCGUUUGUUCUUGUGAAACAGGAUACCAGAACCAGUCUGGAGUUUGCCAAGAUAUUGACGAGUGUGAUGAUGUGACAGCAAACGAAUGUGACCAGAUAUGUACCAACACAGAAGGAAGCUACACUUGCUCUUGUCAACAUGGUUUCUUUCGUAAUGGAAAAUGUACAGAUAUAAAUGAAUGCACUGGAAAUCAUGGUUGUGAUCAGAUUUGUGAAAAUACUGUGGGAAGCUAUAGAUGUUCUUGUGAGGGAGGUUUCAGGCUUAGCUUGAAUGAUCGGAAAAUAUGUUUGCCGGAACAAGAGUGCAGCGAAGAUCAAAGCAUGACUUGCCCAAAACAUUCAUCAUGUUUUGUUGAGAAUGGUGAAGUGAAUUGUCGAUGUUUGAAAGGCUAUCAAGGAGAUGGUAUUUGUAACGACACUGACGAGUGUUUGGCUGAUUUACAUCUAUGUUCGCAAAAGUGUUCGAACACUGAGGGCAGUUUCAUUUGCAGCUGUAAUGUUGGGUUUUUCCUACUAGAAGACACAGUUACAUGUAAAGAAUGUGAAAUGUGGAAGUAUGGGGAUAACUGUAGCAAAGCUUGCUCUUGUAACAAGCAUCACACUGAAACAUGUGACUCUGUUAAUGGAAAAUGCGUAUGUGUAUCAGGAUGGAGCGGAGCAACUUGUAACGUGGACGUUAACGAAUGUGAUGAUAGCAUGGUUUGCCCAAACAACUCUGUUUGUAAUAAUACAAACGGAAGUUACAACUGCAAAUGUCUAAAGGGCUACUAUAAAACUGGAAACAGAGAAUGUGAAGAGUGUACUGGCUGGACAUUUGGUGAUAAUUGUAUGUCUACCUGCAUUUGUAUCAAAACAAACACAGAAACAUGUGAUGCAAAGACAGGAACAUGUGUGUGUGAGGAGGGCUGGAAUGGAACAAUCUGUGAAAACGACAUCAAUGAAUGCGCAAAUGAAACAGCUUGUCCUAAACACUCCAUGUGUUAUAACUCCGAUGGAAGCUAUGAGUGUAUUUGCAAUACUGGCUACCGACUGAUGUUUGAUGGAAAGUGUGAAACAUGCCCAGAUGGAACAUACGGUUUUAAUUGCAGUGAAGACUGUGCAUGUAAUCAACUAAAUUCGGAAUCCUGCAAUAACGUCUUUGGGAACUGUACUUGCAAAGAGGGUUGGAUUGGUUCGACCUGUUCUGAAGAUAUAGAUGAAUGCGAAGAAAACCCGACCUUGUGUCAGAGCAAAGAAAACUCAACAUGCGAGAAUACGAAUGGGUCAUACAAUUGUAGAUGUAAUGAGGGGUUACGUGAGCAAGGCAAUAUAUGUACAGAUUCAGCUAUUCUGAUCGCGGUAGUUGUUACAUUCGAGACAGAUCUUCCUGCUGGAACUAACAUCGACGUCACUAGCAUAUAUAUCAGCGUUGCAAAUAAACUUGUGACAACACUGCGUACAUUUCUUAAACGAUUUACGGACGCUCUGUUAGAAUUAAUUAUUACCGAUAUAAGAUUCAUAUAAAGAUAUGGCGCCAUGUGAGAUUCUUCACACGAUUGUUGAAAGUUGUGGAGAAGGAUAUACAUGUCAAGUAGAUGAUGAUAUACCAGUAUGUAGCUCAGAGAAGGAUCAGUCAAAAGGUAAGUUUGAAC